GACGAACGCUGGCGGCGUGCUUAACACAUGCAAGUCGAACGAAGAGCGAUGGAAGCUUGCUUCCAUCAAUCUUAGUGGCGAACGGGUGAGUAACGCGUAAUCAACCUGCCCUUCAGAGGGGGACAACAGUUGGAAACGACUGCUAAUACCGCAUACGAUCUAAUCUCGGCAUCGAGGAUAGAUGAAAGGUGGCCUCUACAUGUAAGCUAUCACUGAAGGAGGGGAUUGCGUCUGAUUAGCUAGUUGGAGGGGUAACGGCCCACCAAGGCGAUGAUCAGUAGCCGGUCUGAGAGGAUGAACGGCCACAUUGGGACUGAGACACGGCCCAGACUCCUACGGGAGGCAGCAGUGGGGAAUCUUCCGCAAUGGACGAAAGUCUGACGGAGCAACGCCGCGUGAGUGAUGACGGCCUUCGGGUUGUAAAGCUCUGUUAAUCGGGACGAAAGGCCUUCUUGCGAAUAGUGAGAAGGAUUGACGGUACCGGAAUAGAAAGCCACGGCUAACUACGUG
rnacentral:rRNA from 1 species